CUACGGGGGGCUGCAGUGGGGAAUAUUGCACAAUGGACGGAAGUCUGAUGCAGCAACGCCGCGUGGAGGAUGACACAUUUCGGUGCGUAAACUCCUUUUAUAUAGGAAGAUAAUGACGGUACUAUAUGAAUAAGCACCGGCUAACUCCGUGCCAGCAGCCGCGGUAAUACGGAGGGUGCAAGCGUUACUCGGAAUCACUGGGCGUAAAGAGCGUGUAGGCGGGUUAAUAAGUUGGAAGUGAAAUCCUAUGGCUCAACCAUAGAACUGCUUCCAAAACUGUUAACCUAGAAUAUGGGAGAGGUAGAUGGAAUUUCUGGUGUAGGGGUAAAAUCCGUAGAGAUCAGAAGGAAUACCGAUUGCGAAGGCGAUCUACUGGAACAUUAUUGACGCUGAGACGCGAAAGCGUGGGGAGCAAACAGGAUUAGAUACCCGAGUAGUC
rnacentral:rRNA from 1 species